GAUGAACGCUGGCGGCGUGCUUAACACAUGCAAGUCGAACGAUGAAGCCCAGCUUGCUGGGUGGAUUAGUGGCGAACGGGUGAGUAACACGUGAGUAACCUGCCCUAGACUCUGGGAUAAGCCUGGGAAACUGGGUCUAAUACUGGAUAUGACUUCUCAUCGCAUGGUGGGGGGUGGAAAGAUUUAUUGGUCUUGGAUGGACUCGCGGCCUAUCAGCUUGUUGGUGAGGUAAUGGCUCACCAAGGCGACGACGGGUAGCCGGCCUGAGAGGGUGACCGGCCACACUGGGACUGAGACACGGCCCAGACUCCUACGGGAGGCAGCGGUGGGGAAUAUUGCACAAUGGGCGCAAGCCUGAUGCAGCGACGCCGCGUGAGGGAUGACGGCCUUCGGGUUGUAAACCUCUUUCAGUAGGGAAGAAGCGAGAGUGACGGUACCUGCAGAAGAAGCGCCGGCUAACUACGUG
rnacentral:rRNA from 1 species